rnacentral:lncRNA from 1 species
GCAUUUGCUCUCAUGCUAUGUCAAGUUUCCUAACACCCCGGCCAUAAUAGGUGGCGAUUUUAAUGCCCGCACAGCAGCAAAUUGGGACUCGCUGACCAAAGCCAAAUGGUGGGUUACCCCAAACCUUGAUAAUUAUGAUCUGGAACAUAUCAUGAGGAGAACUUCUAAAGACCAACGAGUUAAUGAGGCUGGAGUAUUCCUCUACCAAAUGGCCAUCCGUUUAAAUCUGGUCCCCCUAAAUGGCACAUGCCUCCCUGAUAUUCCAGGGGAUUUCACUCACCUGAGUGUUAAAUCAAACAGCGUCCUCGAUUACCUGCUGGUCUCCAGUGAUCUACUUAAGUGUAUUUCCUCCUUUAAGAUCGAGAAUGUACAAUCUAGUGAUCAUCUUCCCCUCGUAGCCAAGCUUUCCCUGAAUUGGCAGUCGGAGGCCUAUAGACAUGCGACCCAGAUGGUAACCAACGUAUCUCUCCAAGUAAGAGGAAUCAAAUGGUCGGAGACCCAGGCUCAAAGGUAUCAGGAAUUCUUUCAAAAAGAAAUCCUCGGGCCCCAUCCCUACAUAGGCUCUGCCUCAGACGAGCAUAGCAUAGUGUUGAAACGCUUCCACCAUCAUACGACUGAUCUUACGUCCUUCUUCAGGUUUCCACCCAAAAUAUUAAAUCGAAACGAGUAUACUUACGGUGCCCCCUGGUAUAACUCUCAGUGCAAAGAAGCAAGACAGCGCCUUCGUGCUAUAUAUAAUGUAUAUAAGACCUCCGAUGCAUCUACUCUGCCAGCUAGUUAUGCACAAGCCAAGCAAGUUUACAAACGCACGCAGAAAAUUGCCAAACGUGAGUGGCAACAUAAUCGCUGGCAGGCCUUGAUUACUGCUUCAAAAUCACAUAGAUCCAGGGAAUUCUGGUCUCUGAUUAACAGAAGGGUGAGGAAAUACCCUAGGGCAGUCAUCCCUGCACCGACAUGGGAAUUGUUCCUGAAGAAAUGCUUCUCACAGGCAGAUGCUCCCUCCGACCAUCUGAUGCAUCUGUUUUCCCACCUACCUAUUUGGCCUCCCACCGAUCCUGAUGAAAUAGCCAAGCUAAUAGCCCAGUUGAAACCGGGCAAAGCCCCUGGGCCCGACCUGAUCCCUGCUGAAGCCAUCAAACUACACCCAAAAUGGUGGGCUGGCAUCUUGGCCAAAACCUUCGACGCAAUCAACGCUUCCGGUCUCAUCCCCAAAAUAUGGAAGGAGGCCAUUAUAGUACCAAUUCAUAAAAAAGGUUCUCCAAUGGAGCCGGAAAACUACCGUAACAUCAGCCUCCUUUCGAUCAUAGGGAAAAUUU